GAGAAGUUAGUAAACCUAUUACAUAGCCUUGUCAAGACUAAAUCACAGGUCAAAACCCUGUACAUCUCA
ensembl:Mt_tRNA